rnacentral:rRNA from 1 species
UUUAAAUAGCUGCAGUAUUUUAACUGUACAAAGGUAGCAUAGUAAUUAGUCUUUUAAUUGAGGUCUAGAAUGAAUGGGUUGUCAAGAAAAUAACUUUAUUUUUAAAAUUUAAUAUUUAAUUUUACUUUUAAGUUAAAAGGCUUAAAUUUUUGAGUGGGACGAUAAGACCCUAUAGAUCUUAAAAUUUUUAAUUUUUCUUAUUUUUUGGGAGUUUAAAAUUUAAUUAUUGAAAAUUUUUCGUUGGGGUGAUGUUAAAAUUUUUCAAACUUUUAAAAUUUUAAACAUUUUUAAAUGGAUUUUUGAUCUUAAAUUUUUGAUUAUUAGAUUAAGAUACCUUAGGGAUAACAGCACAAUAAAUUUGAAUAGUUCAAAUUGUUAAAUUUGUUUGUGACCUCGAUGUUGAAUUAAUUUAAGAUAUUGAAGCAGAAAUUAAAUGUCUGGGUCUGUUCGACCUUUAAAUAAUUACA